rnacentral:rRNA from 1 species
AAUAAGGACAUUACACAUGCAAAUCAAACGUUUAUUAUAAAUAAUAUAAUAAAUAAGUGGUGAGAACGUGAGUAAAAAAUAAGGAAUAAUGAACUAUAAAAAAGAUUAAAUAUCUUAUAAAAUGAAAGAAUAUAAAUAAAUAUUUGUUUAUAGUCAAGCCUAUAAUGGUUUAGGUAGUAGGUUAUUAAAGAGUAUAACCUAGCCAACGAUCCAUAAUCAAUAAUGAAAGUUAUAAUGAUCACGUUGAUAUAUUAAAUAUAAUCAAUAUCUAUAUGAUACAGCAGUGGGGAAUAUUAGACAAUGAUCGAAAGAUUGAUCUAGUUACUUAUUAGGAUGAUAUUUUAAAUAUAAAAAUAAAUAAUAAAAAUAAAUUGAUUAAAAAUAAAAUCCAUAAAUAAUAAAAAUAAUGAUAUAAAUUACUUUAUAUAAUUAAAGAAUAAAUAAAAUAUAUAUAUAUUUAUAUAUAUAUAUAUAAUAAUUAUUUUAAAUAGUCUUAACAAAUAAUUGUGCCAGCAGUUGCGGUUAUACAAUGAAGGCUAGCAUUAAUCAUAA